ACUCCUGCGGGAGGCAGCAGUGGGGAAUAUUGCACAAUGGGCGCAAGCCUGAUGCAGCCAUGCCGCGUGUAUGAAGAAGGCCUUCGGGUUGUAAAGUACUUUCAGCGGGGAGGAAGGCGAUAAGGUUAAUAACCUUGUUGAUUGACGUUACCCGCAGAAGAAGCACCGGCUAACUCCGUGCCAGCAGCCGCGGUAAUACGGAGGGUGCAAGCGUUAAUCGGAAUUACUGGGCGUAAAGCGCACGCAGGCGGUCUGUCAAGUCGGAUGUGAAAUCCCCGGGCUCAACCUGGGAACUGCAUUCGAAACUGGCAGGCUAGAGUCUUGUAGAGGGGGGUAGAAUUCCAGGUGUAGCGGUGAAAUGCGUAGAGAUCUGGAGGAAUACCGGUGGCGAAGGCGGCCCCCUGGACAAAGACUGACGCUCAGGUGCGAAAGCGUGGGGAGCAAACAGGAUUAGAUACCCGAGUAGUCCCAUGA
rnacentral:rRNA from 1 species